AUUCUUUAGUCCGACUGAAUGGGCCUGUAAACAGCAAAUAACAACUCGUGAAACUGACGUGCAUUUGUCUCCUAGUCACCAGCUCGCUCAUACUCUUUCUUGUUGAUUUCAGUUGCAGUCAUAAUAUUUCUUCUAACAAAAAAAAUUCUCUGAAAAUUUUAGGGAUCAUAAAUCUCUUCAAACUCUCCAAGCAGAGCCCACCAGAAAGUUGCUAUAAUAGUUCAUGGUCAAAGAGAUGGUGGAUACACCCAUCAAAGAGAAGCAGCCCAGGAUGCAAUUUAUAUAUGUUUGCCUUCAGCCCAGACCUAUGCAUAUUAAAUAGCCUA